rnacentral:tRNA from 2 species
ACUCUACUAGGAUGAUGCACAAGAAAGGUC